GGGGGAUACGGGGAUGGCUUAGGGUUAGGGUUUCCCCCAAAUCCCCUUCGAUGGGAUGGGUGACGAAGAUGAGGACGAUGACGAUGACGACGAUGAUGAAGGCUCCCCCUCUCCCCGCAGGCCAUGGCGGCGCUGCCCCCCCCCAGCCUGGCCGAGCUGCUGGACGCGGCCAUCGGCACGCCCGAGGUGGGGGCCGUCAACUUCACAGCCCUGCACAGCCUGCUGCGAGCCCUGCUGCAGCACCUGGGGCUGCUGCACCUCCCCGUGCCCACCCCACAACCCACCCCACAACCCACCCCACAAGCCGCCCCCCCCGGCGGGCAGCCCCCCCAGCCCACCCCGGGACCCCCGGGGGGCUCCGCAGCCCCCGCCGUGGGGCCGGAGAGGAGCGAAGCGAGGGAUGGCGACGCCACCCAGGUGAGGUUUUGGGGGUUUUUGGGGGGGUUUCUCGUGGUGGUGCCCCCCCGCCCCACAAGCACGCAGCUCCUUCCCCGGGGGCUGUGCAGCUCUUAUGGGGUCUCCCCCUCCCCGGUCCCUUCCAGGCCCCGUCUGUGCCCCGGGACCUCCUGGAGGCCCUCAGCGGGGUGAAGGCGGCGCAGUCCCGUAUGGCCAAGGACAUCUGUGGGAUCAAGGAGCUGCUGGGCCUGGUGGGCGAGCAGCAGCGGGGACCCCGCAGCGGGGCGAGCCCGGAGAGCGACGGGGAGGCUGCCGGGAGCCAGGCUGCAGCCUCCGAGUCCUCCGAGUCCCCCGAGACCCCCGAGUCGGGCGAGGAGGACACCGAGCACGGGGGGACCCCCAAAAGGACGCAGCCAGCGCCCGGCACCGGCAUGGGGACAGCGGGGACACGGCCCCGCAGCCUGGGGACACGGAGAGCAUCAGUGGCCCUCGGGAGGCGGGCAGCAGCUGCCCCCAAUCGCACGGGGACGGCUGGUGCCGGUGCCACCGCCCCGGGGACGCAGCCGGGGGGCCCUGGCACCCAGACCCCCACCCUGGGGGCAGAGCCUGGGUCCCCCGGCACCCAAACCUCUGCCCUGGGGGCACAGCCCGGGUCCCCCGGCACCCACGGCACCACCCCGGGGACACAGUGGGGGUCCCCUGGUGCCCACGGCACCACCCCAGAGAUGCAGCCAGGGUCCCCCAGCACCC
rnacentral:lncRNA from 1 species